rnacentral:rRNA from 1 species
UCGCCUGUUUUUCAAAAACAUCGUUGGCUCCUAUCUAUCGCCAAUAAUAUCUGCCCAGUGAUUUAUUCAACGGCCGCAGUACCCUAACUGUGCUAAGGUAGCAUAAUCAUUAGUUUUUUAAUUGGAAACUCGUAUAAACGAUUCGACGAGAAAUUUUCUGUCUCUAAAAUACUCCAACUUACUUCGAAAGUUAAAAAGCUUUCUAACUUCAAGAGGACGACAAGACCCUAUAAAACUUUACCUUAACUUUAACCCUGUCCUCAGAAUAUAUAAAUUUAAGAAAAGGUUAUGCUGGGGCGGCAAAUUUUAAUUGAAACAAAUUUUAACCUAACAUAAUGCAUGAAAUUAACAAACACCUCACGUAAUAAAGAACAAGUUACUUUAGGGAUAACAGCGCAAUAUCUUUUUAGAGCCCCUAUCGGCAAAGAUGUUUACGACCUCGAUGUUGAAUUGAAUUAACCUGCACGGAGCAGCCCUCGUGCGAGGAAGUCUGUUCGACUUUUAAUUCUUCACAUGAUCUGAGUUCCAAACCGGA